AAGAAUAUGGUCAGCUACAAGUG
rnacentral:piRNA from 1 species